CCUACGGGUGGCAGCAGUGGGGAAUAUUGCACAAUGGGGGAAACCCUGAUGCAGCGACGCCGCGUGAGUGAAGAAGUAUUUCGGUAUGUAAAGCUCUAUCAGCAGGGAAGAAAUAGCGACCUUUGGGUCGCCAGACGGUACCUGAUUAAUAAGCACCGGCUAACUACGUGCCAGCAGCCGCGGUACUACGUAGGGGGCAAGCGUUAUCCGGAUUUACUGGGUGUAAAGGGAGCGUAGACGGCAGCGCAAGUCUGAAGUGAAAUGCCGGGGCUUAACCGCGGAGGUGCAUUGGAAACUGUGCAGCUUGAGUGCAGGAGAGGUGAGUGGAAUUCCAAGUGUAGCGGUGAAAUGCGUAGAUAUAAGGAGGAACACCAGUGGCGAAGGCGACUUACUGGACUGUAACUGACGUUGAGGCUCGAAAGCGUGGGGAGCAAACAGGAUUAGAUACCCUAGUAGUC
rnacentral:rRNA from 1 species